rfam:Oryza barthii chromosome 8, whole genome shotgun sequence.
UUUAAUCUUAGUUGUGAAUUUCUAUGUACACCAUUUAACUGUCUAUCUUAUUUAAAAUUUUUUAUGAUUAGUAUUUUUAUUGUUAUUACAUGAUAAAAACACGAAUAGUAUUUUAUGUGUGACUUAUUUUUAAAAAAAUUCAUAAAUUUUUCAAAUAAGAAAAACGGUGUUGGAUACAGAAACUCAUGACUGCAUUUAAA